UCGCGCUGCUCGAGGGCCUCACCGUGGUCUACAGGAGCAGCAUCGACCUCUACUUCUACGUCAUCGGCAGCCCCCACGAGAACGAGCUGAUGCUCACGGCCGUGCUCGGCUGCCUC